CUGCAGUACUGCUCUGCCUACAUCGUAAUAUACAAUGCCUCGCCUAUAAAGUUUGAAGAAUCUUAAAAUAUUUGUUAUACUGGAUCUGCUGCAGAGAGGUUAUCACUCUUCUACGCUGAGCAUGCCGACAGGAGCUUCUUCAACAGUCUGGUGAAGCACACCAUUUUGGAUCAAUUCCUCGCAUAGACCCGCAUUGAGGGAGGAGGACGCAGAGGCCGACAACAAGGAGCGGGUGUGGGUGUUCAUCCUCGCCACUGACCACAAGUGCUGCGAUAAAUUUUGAGAAGAAUUCUAUGCCUCCACUGGUAUGAGCAAAUCACCCGUUGAUUCCUUCUCUCUGUCCAUUGCCUGUUGAAGUAGCUAAUAGAUUGCUUCAGAAUGUUGUGAGCUUGGUUA
rnacentral:rRNA from 1 species